UACGAAGGGUGCAAGCGUUACUCGGAAUUACUGGGCGUAAAGCGUGCGUAGGUGGUUCGUUAAGUCUGUCGUGAAAGCCCCGGGCUCAACCUGGGAAUGGCGAUGGAUACUGGCGGGCUAGAGUGCGGUAGAGGAGAGUGGAAUUCCCGGUGUAGCAGUGAAAUGCGUAGAGAUCGGGAGGAACAUCAGUUGCGAAGGCGGCUCUCUGGACCAGCACUGACACUGAGGCACGAAAGCGUGGGGGAGCAAACAGG
rnacentral:rRNA from 1 species